rnacentral:rRNA from 1 species
UACGGAGGGUGCGAGCGUUGUCCGGAAUCAUUGGGCGUAAAGGGCGCGUAGGUGGCCCGGUCAGUUCGUGGUGAAAGCGCGGGGCUCAACCCUGCGUCGGCCAUGAAUACUGCCGCGGCUGGAGCACUGUAGAGGCAGGCGGAAUUCCGGGUGUAGCGGUGGAAUGCGUAGAGAUCCGGAAGAACACCGGUGGCGAAGGCGGCCUGCUGGGCAGUGGCUGACGCUGAUGCGCGACAGCGUGGGGAGCAAACAGG